rnacentral:rRNA from 1 species
GCUUUCCUACGGGACGCAGCAGUAGGGAAUAUUGCUCAAUGGGGGAAACCCUGAAGCAGCAACGCCGAGUGGAGGAUGAAGGUUUUAGGAUUGUAAACUCCUUUUGUUAGAGAAGAUUAUGACGGUAUCUAACGAAUAAGCACCGGCUAACUCCGUGCCAGCAGCCGCGGUAAUACGGAGGGUGCAAGCGUUACUCGGAAUCACUGGGAGUAAAGAGUGCGUAGGCGGGGUAAUAAGUCAGAUGUGAAAUCCUGGAGCUUAACUACAGAAC